UCAUCAAUUUACGAUCUGGCA
rnacentral:siRNA from 1 species